GAUGAACGCUGGCGGCGUGCCUAAUACAUGCAAGUCGAGCAAACAGAUAAGGAGCUUGCUCCUUUGACGUUAGCGGCGGACGGGUGAGUAACACGUGGGUAACCUACCUAUAAGACUGGAAUAACUCCGGGAAACCGGGGCUAAUGCCGGAUAACAUUUAGAACCGCAUGGUUCUAAAGUGAAAGAUGGUUUUGCUAUCACUUAUAGAUGGACCCGCGCCGUAUUAGCUAGUUGGUAAGGUAACGGCUUACCAAGGCAACGAUACGUAGCCGACCUGAGAGGGUGAUCGGCCACACUGGAACUGAGACACGGUCCAGACUCCUACGGGAGGCAGCAGUAGGGAAUCUUCCGCAAUGGGCGAAAGCCUGACGGAGCAACGCCGCGUGAGUGAUGAAGGUCUUCGGAUCGUAAAACUCUGUUAUUAGGGAAGAACAAAUGUGUAAGUAACUGUGCACGUCUUGACGGUACCUAAUCAGAAAGCCACGGCUAACUACGUG
rnacentral:rRNA from 1 species